rnacentral:rRNA from 1 species
CGAACGGGUGAGUAAUAUAUCGGAACGUACCUUUCAGGUGGGGGAUAACGUAGCGAAAGUUACGCUAAUACCGCAUAUUCUGUGAGCAGGAAAGCAGGGGAUCGCAAGACCUUGCGCUGAUUGAGCGGCCGAUAUCAGAUUAGCUAGUUGGUGAGGUAAAGGCUCACCAAGGCGACGAUCUGUAGCGGGUCUGAGAGGAUGACCAGCCACACUGGGACUGAGACACGGCCCAGACUCCUACGGGAGGCAGCAGUGGGGAAUAUUGGACAAUGGGCGCAAGCCUGAUCCAGCCAUGCCGCGUGAGUGAUGACGGCCUUAGGGUUGUAAAGCUCUUUCACCGGUGAAGAUAAUGACGGUAACCGGAGAAGAAGCCCCGGCUAACUUCGUG